rnacentral:rRNA from 1 species
GAUCAUGGCUAAGGAUGAACGCUAGCUACAGGCUUAACACAUGCAAGUCGAGGGGAAACGACAUCGAAAGCUUGCUUUUGAUGGGCGUCGACCGGCGCACGGGUGAGUAACGCGUAUCCAACCUGCCCAUCACUUGGGAAUAACCUUGCGAAAGUAAGACUAAUGCCCAAUGACAUCUCACGAAGGCAUCCGAAUGGGAUUAAAGAUUUAUCGGUGAUGGAUGGGGAUGCGU